rnacentral:rRNA from 1 species
CCUAAGGUAGCGAAAUUCCUUGUCGGGUAAGUUCCGACCUGCACGAAUGGUGUAACGAUCUGGGCACUGUCUCGGCCAUGAGCUCGGUGAAAUUGUAGUAUCGGUGAAGAUGCCGAUUACCCGUAGUGGGACGAAAAGACCCCGUGAACCUUCACUAUAGCUUAGUAUUGACUUCGGAUAAUGGAUGUGUAGGAUAGGUGGGAGAUAAUGAAGCGUGGUCGCUAGGCUGCGUGGAAUCAUCCUUGAAAUACCACCCUUCUGUUAUUUGGAGCCUAACCCCGCAAGGGGGACAGUGCUUGGUGGGUAGUUUGACUGGGGUGGUCGCCUCCAAAAGAGUAACGGAGGCUUCCAAAGGUACCCUCAGCACGGUUGGUAACCGUGCGUAGAGUGCAAUGGCACAAGGGUGCUUAACUGUGAGACCUACAAGUCGAGCAGGCACGAAAGUGGGGCAUAGUGAUCCGGUGGUUCCGCAUGGGUGGGCCAUCGCUCAAAGGAUAAAAGGUACUCCGGGGAUAACAGGCUGAUCCUUCCCAAGAGCUCACAUCGACGGGAGGGUUUGGCACCUCGAUGUCGGCUCGUCACAUCCUGGGGCUGGAGAAGGUCCCAAGGGUUGGGCUGUUCGCCCAUUAAAGUGGCACGCGAGCUGGGUUCAGAACGUCGCGAGACAGUUCGGUCUCUAUCUACUAUGGGCGUUAGAAAUUUGAGGGGAGCUGACUUUAGUACGAGAGGACCGAGUCGGACGCACCUCUAGUGUACCUGUUGUGGCGCCAGCUGCAUCGCAGGGUAGCUAUGUGCGGAUGGGAUAAGCGCUGAAAGCAUAUAAGCGCGAAGCCCACCCCAAGAUGAGAUUUCUCUUAAGGGUCGUUCGAGACUAGGACGUUGAUAGGCUAUAGGUGUAAAGGCAGUAAUGUCAUAGCCGAGUAGUACUAAUUACCCGUGGAUUC